UUAGGAUUGUUAUGCUAUAAAAUUUACUCAUUGAGUUAACAGAGCAUAUGUUCUGUUUGUUACUUGUGAUUAAGUUGCUAAUAUGACACUUGUCUGAAUUUCUUAAUCAUGUCAAGCUGGACAACAUGCAAUGCCAAUAUUUUGCAUGAGAGAGGACUGAUAUUGUAAACUGGAUAGUAUGAGGCUAUGAGCUGACAAUUAAACUCCUAGAAUUCAAUAAUCACAGUGCUAACUGCUAAGUUAUUUCAUAACAUUCAUGUCAGUAUCUUCGCUUGUCCUGUGGGUAUAUUUGGUCAGCUAUGCACUAAGGAUCUUCAACAUCAAUAUUUGCAAACUUUUCCCCACCUCAUGCGUGGUACUUUCUCCUAGUUUAGUUGGCACAUGUCCAUUUUUUCCCCGUACUUCAUUUCUGAAUUGUUGAGCUGUUUGUAGACAGAGAAUCCAUUCUUCUCUCGUGUUUUUUGUUUUAAUCAGUGGCUCUUCUGCUUACUUCUUUGCGGCCUUUUCAGGCUCUCCCUAUAUUCCUUGACAGGAUUUUCAAUCCUGUUCUUGCAAUUAUAUUGUCAGUGACAUUUGUUCUUGCCUUUGGGGAGGUUAUACCUCAAGCAAUAUGUACCAGGUAUGGGCUGGCAGUGGGUGCUAGCUUUGUUUGGCUCGUACGCAUCGUCAUGUUCAUUGCCUAUCCUAUUGCUUACCCUAUUGGGAAGGUAAAUCAGCAAAGUCACAUUACUCAAUAGAAAAGUGUUAAUUUGUACUGUAUCAUAAUCGUUUGAAGCUUAUCCAGUGGCCUAGAUUUUGAAUUCCAAUGAAUUAGACUAUUAUUAUGAGGCCUGGGCUCACUGCUCUUUGGUGCCAUUGUUGAUGGACAAGGUCAUGAAGUGAUAUUUUGGUUACACUUCUCUAA